rnacentral:rRNA from 1 species
AGAGUUUGAUCCUGGCUCACGAUGAACGCUAGCGGCAGGCUUAAUACAUGCCAGUCGAACGGGAUUCGAGGUAGCAAUACUUUGAUGAGAGUGGCGAACGGGUGCGUAACGCGUAUGCAACCUACCUUUAACUGGAGGAUAGCCCCGAGAAAUCGGGAUUAAUACUUCAUAAUAUUGAGAUCUGGCAUCAUUUCUUAAUUAAAGCUUCGGCGGUUAAAGAUGGGCAUGCGUGACAUUAGAUAGUUGGUGAGGUAACGGCUCACCAAGUCAGCGAUGUCUAGGGGUCCUGAGAGGAUUUUCCCCCACACUGGUACUGAGACACGGACCAGACUCCUACGGGAGGCAGCAGUAAGGAAUAUUGGUCAAUGGGCGAAAGCCUGAACCAGCCAUGCCGCGUGCACGAUGACGGCCCUAUGGGUUGUAAACUGCUUUUAUCAGGGAAUAAACCUAUCUACGUGUAGAUAGCGGAAGGUACCUGAAGAAUAAGCACCGGCUAACUCCGUGCCAGCAGCCGCGGUAAUACGGAGGGUGCAAGCCUUAUCCGGAUUUAUUGGGUUUAAAGGGUGCGCAGGCGGACUAAUAAGUCAGUGGUGAAAUCUCUCGGCUCAACCGUGAAACUGCCAUUGAUACUGUUAUUCUUGAGUAUAGUUGUAGUGGGCGGAAUAUAGCAUGUAGCGGUGAAAUGCUUAGAUAUGCUACAGAACACCGAUCGCGAAGGCAGCUCACUAAGCUAUAACUGACGCUCACGCCCGAAAGCGUGGGGAUCAAACAGGAUUAGAUACCCUGGUAGUCCACGCCGUAAACGAUGAUUACUCGAUGUUGGCGAUACACAGUCAGCGUCCAAGCGAAACCGUUAAGUAAUCCACCUGGGGAGUACGAUCGCAAGAUUGAAACUCAAAGGAAUUGACGGGGGCCCGCACAAGCGGAGGAGCAUGUGGUUUAAUUCGAUGAUACGCG